GAUGAACGCUAGCUACAGGCUUAACACAUGCAAGUCGCAGGACUGGCGCACGGGUGAGUAACGCGUAUCCAACCUUCCCAUGACCACGGGAUAACCCGUUGAAAGACGGACUAAUACCGUAUGGUGUUGGAUGGGGAUGCGUGUGAUUAGCUUGGUGGCGGGGUAACGGCCCACCAAGGCGACGAUCCGUAGGGGUUCUGAGAGGAAGGUCCCCCACAUUGGAACUGAGACACGGUCCAAACUGGUAGGGGAGGCAGCAGUGAGGAAUAUUGGGCAAUGGGCGAGAGCCUGAACCAGCCAAGUGGCGUGAAGGACGACGGCGUAGGGGUUGUAAACUGCUUGUAUGCGAGGAUAGGUACCGGAUGAAUAAGGACCGGCUAAUUCCGUGCCAGCCGCCGCGGUAAUUC
rnacentral:rRNA from 1 species